rnacentral:sRNA from 21 species
CCCGAGCGCUUGAUGCCUGCCAGGGAAAGCCCGCGGUGCUGCCACCGCACUCCUUAAGUGGAUCGGCCCCUGGAGGCUUCAAGAGUUCGGG